UGCCGGUAAAAGCCGGAGGAAGGUGAGGAUGAUGUCAAGUCAGCAUGACCUUUAUAUCCACGGGCUACACACACGCUACAAUGGUCUGUACAAUUGGUUGCCAAGCCGCGAGGCGGAGCCAAUCCGUAAAGCAGGCCUCAGUUCAGAUUGCAGUCUGCAACUCGACUGCAUGAAGCCGGAGUUGCUAGUAACCGCAGGUCAGCAAUACUGCGGUGAAUACGUUCCCGGGUCUU
rnacentral:rRNA from 1 species